rnacentral:rRNA from 1 species
AGGACGAACGCUGGCGGCGUGCCUAAUACAUGCAAGUCGAACGGUCUUUCUAUGGAAGCUUGCUUCCACUGAGAAGAUAGUGGCGAACGGGUGAGUAACACGUGGGUAACCUGCCCAUAAGAGGGGGAUAACAUCCGGAAACGGGUGCUAAUACCGCAUAGUUUUCUUGAUCGCAUGAUCGGGAAAGGAAAGACGGCCUUUGUGCUGUCGCUUAUGGAUGGACCCGCGGCGUAUUAGUUAGUUGGUGAGGUAACGGCUCACCAAGACGAUGAUACGUAGCCGACCUGAGAGGGUGAUCGGCCACAUUGGGACUGAGACACGGCCCAGACUCCUACGGGAGGCAGCAGUGGGAAUAUUGCACAAUGGGGGAAACCCUGAUGCAAGCAACGCCGCGUGAGUGAUGACGGCCUUCGGGUUGUAAAGCUCUGUCUUCAGGGACGAUAAUGACGGUACCUGAGGAGGAAGCCACGGCUAACUACGUGCCAGCCGCUGC